UUCAGGUGAAAUGCCUCUGGUAAAUAACAGCUCCUUUGUUCGGGAUUUCGAUUUCCAGCUCAAGCCGCCGACAGCCGAGAUAUUUAUUUUGCAAGCUUUAGCGCCAUCUGGUGGGGAGUCGGUGUGCCAAAUUCCGAGCUCUUUGAGAAAGUCUCGAAAGCUCACUCGAUUCAUCUUCAGUAAUUGAAUGGGCGUCAGAAAGAGUGAAGGCAGGCAUUGAAGCCGGCUGGUUUCUCUAUUCCAAUGACUUGUCUUCUGGCGUGGGAACAAGAGCCCUUCAUCUUGGAGCAUCAGAGGGACUCCAGCCGACAGAUUUGUUGUCACUUGCAGCACAGAAUUGCCUCACGCCAAAUGGAAGGCAGGCAGUGAUGAAAGCAAAUUGUGGGCUCUAAAUGAUGUUGGGGAAACAGAUGCACUCGUACCUCUGGCAAUGGGAAAUCUUUAGGUUGACAGUCAUGUUUGGAUGUCCUGGUUGCAUGACCAUCCAUCCAAUGGUUCCCUGCCUCCCCUCCCCCACAAAGGACAUCUUUGUCAUUUGAAAAUGUUUGCAAAUUCUCAUCAGAAUUUCUCCUCAGAUUUUGCAGUUCUAGAUUGCCUAAUCUUGUUUUCAAAGUAUAAUUAGUCCAUCAGGGACUUCUUGGUUGUUUCAUUUUUAAUUGCAGGAUUUUGUAGAGAGUGCUAUGUACCCACACUUUAUGCAUAACAUGUGUAUUCCUGCAUGACUAAUGUGAACAUGGACAUUAAUAAAACACUCUAAUCUGAGUAUA